ensembl:lncRNA
CCCUGACCGUGAACACAAAUUUGUAGGAGGAGAUGACUCUGUAUAUUAAACCAAUAGCUCUUUGAAUUGUGUGUAGUAUAAUUUAAAUAUACUUACUUUAAUUAGUAGGAGCUUACAAAAGCCGGCAUUGUCUGGGGCUGUUUAAUUUACAUCGCGGCCUCUGUCAAUGAGUGCAACCUGCCUGAACAGAAUGGCGUAUUCUGCACAGCCGGCAGGGUGGAAGGCGUUACUUUGUUUGUGUUCCUUCCAACAGCUGGUCAUUAAUGCAGGCCCCAUCUCCAGAGUGAAGUGCCGGUGGACAUGAAUGGCCGCCUGAUUAAUGCUGCCCCUCGACGGCUCCUUCUUCCAGCAGUGAUGCUCGCAGCAGAAUAAUGCAGCGUGAUUUGAUUGCGCUCUAACAGGGCAGUAUGUCAUUGUGUCACCAAGCAAUUGAGGUUAUUAUGGGGCAGGGCAGACAGACGGGACAGUGGGGUUACUAGACCGUGGCAUUUUUAGAAAUGCAGGCCUGACCUACUUAGAGUUAUUCUUGCUGGCUGGCAGCUGCAUGGUGCAUGGCUUGUCCUGAUAGGCUGAGGCUGUUGCUAGGGGGAAUUAGCAUGAAUUUUUCCACAUACAGACUCAGUGAUUGAAUGAUAAAAGCUGACUGGAAUUAAAGAGAUUCGGUUCAGUAUUAUGCAGAUUUAUCUCCCUUGUUUUUUCCUCUCUCAAAUGCAUAAAAAAGGAGCAGAAGACAGUUUGUUUCCAUUCAUUUUUGACCUAUUUUUUUUCCAGAGGAGGGCAGAAGCACUGUGAAUUUUUGAUCAUUUACUAUUUAAGUCGCUGAAAUGAUAUGACAGUGGGCAUGCAUCUUUAAUGUAUAGGAGAUUCAAAUUCCUUCUCUGCAGAAGGGAAUGAAAUGAAUAUAGUUUAUACACUGAUCAGACCAUCGCCUUUAUUUAUUUAUUUAUUUAUUCUCUAUUUGAAACUAUGUCAGAUUCUCUCAUCUGGAAAGGGAAAACGUACACCAGGUUUUAUUGCAUAACUUCACUCUUGGCUAUUUUUAGCUAUCUGCACUUUACAAAAUUAGUCCUGUUUGUGUGGCUGGAUGAAAUGAAUCCCCAGACUGUGCCUCCUGUAUGCAGAUACACGCACCCAGGAUAUGCUGUAGUGUGCCGUGUUCAUCUGAAAAGAUGCGCACACACUGCAGACAUAGCAGCUCUGCCUGUUGGCGGAGAGCUGACGACUGGCCUUUAAGCUGAUUGAUUAGAUAACCUCUUGUGCAUUUUGAAGUAUUUUUCCGGCUUCAGUUUGAAGUUUGAUUCUCUUGAUAGCACUUUUUUAUUUAUCUACAUCUGCUUAAAACAGUCAUGUUUUUUCAGAGAAUUAUGUGUUCCCUCUGGAAGUAAGUAAAAACAAUACUCAGUGAAGACUUCUUUGAUGUAAUUAUGGAUAUUUCCUUUGUUAUUAUCACUAAUUAUAAGAUAUCUUCCUCCAAACCGCAGUACCCCCUGUGUGAUCCUUUACCAUGCAAAAGGAGUUACAAUUUAGUGCUUAUGAUUUUAAAAGGGUUUUCAUGGCAACACCUCCUGACAUCACACUCAAAGAAUUGUGACUUUCCAGCAUCUGGGAAUGAGGGAGAGGGACUCUGAAGUCUUUGUAUUUGCCAAAUGAGUGUGUGACUCAUUGCUGAAAAGUGUGAGCUCAUUUGAGUUUCAUGUGAAAUACCUGGAUGAAUGAGACACUUCUCAGAGCAGCAUCUGUCAGGAUGGCCAGAAUUACCCCUGGAGUUUCCUGGCCCCCUGCCUCAGCUCAUGAAGUUUCUCUGGAGGGUUUGAAGGUGAAUCAGUUAAACAUGGAGACAUACAUCUGAGUGCAUUUUGUAGUCUAGGCAAAAGCAUUUGAUUUGUACAGAUUUGAAUUUUCUGUGUCUCUUUACCUGUUGGUCAUUUACUACUGAAGCACAUAGCUCUUCCCUGUCUCUUUCUUCCAGACAGCUUUGUGGAUUGACAGACUUGUGAAGGCAUGAAAGUGAAGAGAGGCUUUAUUGGAAACCCAGAGGUUUCUCCUUCUGGCUGUGUUCUCACCAUCUGUCCAGAUGUAACUCCAGCAAGUGUAACUGUGAUGCAGGUCCCACUUCCCACAGCAGGAAACCACUCCUCCCAGUAUUCUCUUGAUCAAAGCCCUAUUUCUUGAUCUGCUUUCUUGUGGGAUGCUGUUAGUGGCUUUGGCUUUGCACCUGGGCUACCAUUUUCACUUUGGCAUGUCUUCCAAACCUUCUUGAUGUUGUGUUUUCUGCUGUUUCCCCUCAUGCUCCCACUUGCAUUCCAUGUGAUAAACCUGUUUUAGUGAUGAGAGAGAAGGAUCAGGUCGCGGAGAGGUUUACUUUUGGGAGGGUAGGCAAUGGCCAGGCUUUGUUUGGAAUUGUAUUUUAAAGUUCUCACCCUCAUUGAAUGUAGCCAGUCAUAGUUUCACCCAGUUGACUUGCAACAUCAGCUAACUUGGACAUCAGCAAAUCAAAACUACCGUACCAUAUUACAUUAAUUUCAGUGGAAACAUAUUUUUUAGAAAAAUCAUAAUCAUGGAAUCAUAGAAUCACUCAGGUUGAGAAAGACCUUAAAGAUCAUCGAGUCCAACCAUGACCUAACCAUACUACCCUAACAACCCUCUGCUAAAUCAUGUCCCUGAGAACCACAUCCAAACGAUUUUUAAACACAUCCAGGAAUGGUGACUCAACCACCUCCCUGGGGAGCCUAUUCCAGUGCUUAACAACCCUUUCAGUAAAGUUUUUCCUGAUAUCCAACCUAAACUUACCCUGGUGCAACUUAAGGCCAUUUCCCCUCUUCCUGUCACCUGUCACCAGUGAGAAGAGACCAACCCCGCUCUCUCUGUAGGCACCUUUCAGAUAUUGGAAGAGAGGUCUCCCCCCAGCCUUUUUUUCCCCAGACUAAACAGCCCCAGUUCCUUCAGUCUCUCCUCACAGGGCAUAUUCUCCAAGCCCUUCACAAGCCUUGUUGUCCUUCUUUGGACCUGCUCCAGCACCUCCAUGUCCUUUCUGUACUGAGUUGUAAUGAGUCACACCUGUUUCAAAAGUGAGUCCAGACUUAAAUCUUGACAGAGAUCAUGACCUUACUUCAACCAAUGGCUGUUUUAUCCUGGCACUCACUGGGACCAGAAUGAGAAGACAGUUUGGGCCACAGUCAGAAUUUGAUCAAGACUUGGGAAUUUUGAGGUUCAGACUUGUGGGCUAAAUGCAUCUCUACCCAGAAUAAGAUUACUGUCUGUGAUGAACUGAAACAUCCCUGUUCAUCACUCAUCAUCCUGUGGAGUUCUAGCCUGAAAACUUAUGUCACGCUCAAGAUUAACAAGGGAUUAAGAGUGAGCAAUGGAUUUUCCAGGACAUGAUGUGGCCUGCUGCUACUUUCUGCUUGCCUGAUUGCCUGCUAAAGUCCAUUCCUCUUGGCACUGCUUACACCAGCUCCAGCUGCUCCACAUUGCUUUGCAGUAUCAACAUCUACCUCCUCAAAUUUGGAAGACUGGUCACCCUUUGUAGUACUGCUGUGUGGAUGAAUCUUAAUCUUCUUGAAAGUAGGAUAUUAAAGAUGAGAUAAGCCCUGGUAUCUAGAAGUAGUAUAUACUGCAGUCCUAUGAGACACAUAGAUAGAUAGCCAGAUAUAAUCUUUCUCCACUGGAUAUCUUGUCCUUAGAACUAUUACCCUGGAAACACUCCUUAAUAUUUCAAAUCACAUUCCCCUUUUCUUAGGUAUAUUCUAUUUAUCAGACAUAGCCUAGCUACAGAAUGGCCAAUGCUGUUGAGCUCUCAAUCUGUGUAGAAAUGGAUUUUCAUCUUUUGUACAAGCUUGUAUUUUGCUAAACAAUUAAAUAAAAACAAAACACAACAAAACAAAACCUUGUAAAUACCAACCUGUUAGGACUGAUCUGUCUAUAGAUCAAUGAAGUGUUAAAAUCCACCACAGGAAUUAGUCCCAGUAUGACUUGAUACUUCACUCUGAAGCAGAAGUACUUUCAAAAACACAAAUAUCUGGUUUAUUCCCAAAAGCUCUUUUUUCUGGGUCAAUCCCAUGUUUCUUAAAUACUGUCAUGACAUUGAGGGGAAAGCUGUGCGCAUGUGAGAAGUCGGAAGCUUUGACACAUUAGGCAAACAAGAAGUCAGUUUAGUAUUAUGCAUUAAUGAAAGAGAAUGAAAAUAAAAAUCAGCUGAAAGCAAAUCCCACCUGCAAACCACUUCAGCAAGGUGUAUGAAGCAAAGGACAUCUGUGACCACAAUGUCAUACACUGAGGCAUUAUGGCUUCACACUGCAAUCUGCCUCUGAGCAGUCAUUUGAUAACACUGCAAUCCAGGAAUGCAGCUGUUCCUUUCUGCAAAUUUAAUGAUCCACAUAUCUUAAAAGGCAUUUUCUUUCAUAUUUUUUUAUUUACUUCUUUUGUGUUAUGUUUUGUAUCAGUGAAGAUAGAACAUUACACAGUCAUCAGGGAAAUUAUGUUUUUCCUUUUUUUUUUUUUUUUUUGAUCAUUCAAGACUUAUAUUCACAGUAAUGAGGCUUCCAGGUUUGUGCGGCUGUGAGAUGAACUGCAUUUUGCAUCACUGUCUUCACCUUCAUGUCUGGGGUUGUUGCCUUCACCUUCCUCCUGAUACUAGCCCUGAGGCACAUGUUAUCUCAUAUCCACAUGCAUUCUGUCAUGUCUCACUCUUUGAAUGAAUACAAAAACAUUUUGAGAAAAUGGAAAAUGGAGGGCUGGAUUGAAUUUUGUAGAUAUGCAUGUAGGAGACACUGCAUGCAGAUUCCCACUUUCCUGCCUCCGGGUGGUGGCUGUAGGAAGCAACUGCCUUGACAUUUCUGUCUUUCUUUUGUGGAAACCUUAUGCAGCCUUGUUCAAUCACACAAUCACAGAAAAUCACAUUCACUGGUGUUGGAAGGGCCCUCAAGCAAUCAUCAAGUCCAACGCCUCCGCUAAAGCAGAUACCCUACAAUAUGUCUCACAGGUAGCUCUCCAGGCAGGUCUCGAAUGUCUCCAUAGAAGGAGCCUCCACAACCUCCCUGGACAUCUCUGUUCCAAUGCUGUGUCACCUUUGCCAUAAAGAAGUUCUUCUGCAUGUUAGUACGAAGCUUCAUAUGCUCAAGUUCAAGUUUGUUUAUGUAUUACCUCUUGUUUGCAACUCCACAUUCAGCUCCAACUCUAAGGGAAGGAUGACAAGUUCAGUCUAACAUAGCAAACAUAGCAUGGAUUCAGCAACAAGACAACUUGGAUGGGCUUCAGUUGGAUUCACUGAAAACUGAACAGCAAUGCUGUAAGAGGUUGGACUUCUGCUCCAAAAUUUCUGUUUUCCCUCUGGGCAUGUUAGGAUAAGAAUAUUCUGCUCUUUGCAAGAAUUUGGAUGAAUCUCAGUAUAUAGUGCUUUUCUUUACAUGUUCUGUGUUUAGAAAAACCUUUUUAAAAUACUGAAUGUAUAUUAUUAUUGUACGAUGUUAUCUCUACAAUAGGUUUGUACUUUGAACUACUGGUUAGAAAACUUCUUAAAUAACUAUUAAUAAUGAAUCAGCCAGAUUUAGAGUCAAGGGCCAAAUUCUUUUAUUUUGAACUCUGACUAUAUUGACUAAAAAUCAUUUCUAUUUAAAAGAUCCCUGCAGGAACCUUCACUGUGGACUGUUUCUCAAGGCUUGAUUUGCAUAUCACCAAGACCUAUCUUCUCCUAUUUUUCCCCGAGAUGUUAUCUCUGCAAUAUCUUUCUUCUGUACCUCCUGGCAACUUUAUAGACUGCUCUCCUAUGGCAUGCUAAUAUCAUUGCCACUAGCCAAAAGAAUUUGCACAAGACAAAGGUGGAUAAUCCUAGGUUACAGUUUCAUUUGAUAAUCAAUAUGGAGAACAACCUCCGUGUUGAACCUCAUGUAGGUAGUAAAUCCAGCCAUAUUGAAGCAUGUACAUAGUUUGCUCUAGAAGUAAUGCCUCCUAUUUGUUUCCAUGAAAACUACGACAUAUAGAAAUAAUGUUUAAAGAAAAGGUGUGCUUUACGUUACUCCAUGUGGAAAAAUUUCACCUAUUGACAUUCAUCAGUGCUUACUGAACGUUUAGGGAGACUAAGAAGUGAGUAUGAACACAGUGGUGGGUAGUGCAUUUCAACAGUAGCAACAGAAACGGUGGCUCACCUAUGCUGGUGCAGAUUUUUAUGACUAUGGCAUGUAAUUUCUUGUUCAUCACAGUAAAAAUGCAUAUCUCAUGGUGGUGAUUAUGUUGAAAAAUAGUGUUUUGUAGCCGAGAAUCUGCUCUGUCAAAUAGUGUUAUUGUGCUCUUUGUAUCCAUUGUAGUUUCCAUGGAAAUAAGUAGGAGGAAUUACUUUCAGAGCAAGCAAUAUACAUAAAGCACCCCAUUGAAUUCAAUAGGAAUAUUGACAUAAGGAAGGAAUGUAGGGCUAAGCCUUUGAUUCCUGUAGAAUUCUUCUUUAACCAAACAAAAUAUUAUUCUGUGUUUGGAUUAUGUUCAAUUAGAACUUAGAAAUUAUUGUUUGUCUGUGAGAUGCCAUUCACAUGACUAUCUUCUCAUAAGUGAUUUAUACUACAUGCUCUUAGGACUAUGUCAUGUGAAAAGUGAAAUAUUUAGAUAGCCAAAUAUCUGACACAAAAGUAUAUGACAAUCACACACACACAACUGAAAGUCCAAGAAAUCACAUCACCCAAAUUGCUCAUAUCUUUCUCUCUCACUGUUUGUGUUGGUUUCCUUUCAGUAGAUACAACUGCAGAUCUUUGGCCUGUGCCACAUGUCAAAUAAGGAUAAGAACCUUCCCCAUGGAAGUCAGUUUUCAAAUUUAAAUGGAACAGAUAUGUAAAUUUUAACACUUUCCCUACAUAAUAUACGCAUUUGAACUGCCAGAUUGUUCAGGUGUACAUGCAAGGGGUAGGUUGUACAUGCAAGAACCCAUUUAUGCUGAUGAAGAAAAUGAUGUAUGGAAAAUAAAAUACAUUUAAAGCAUGCACUGUGGCAUGUACUGACUUUACCAGAAUAAUUGAGGGAAUUAAUAUUGAAUACCCGAUCUAUGGAGACAAAAAUACUAAAUAGCCUAAUGUCACUGAGAAAGAAGCAGAGAGCAAAGGAUUUCCACAUUUUUUCUCUUACAAAAUUUUGAUGGAUUCUGAUCUUUUUUUUGUGUGUGUGUGCUGUUUUUCUCAAACCCAAUGUGAUGACAGAAAACCUUGAAUGCAGAUUUCUUAUUGUUGUGCAAUUGCUGGGGAAAUUGUAAAUAGCUGGAGUUUAGAUUUGAAAGUAUGUAACUACUCCAUUUCCAUCUGAAUUAACAUGUAAUACCUUUUUUAAUUCUGUAUUUAUCACAGGAAAUAUUUUUUGCUUGAAGUAUAUACUUCUGGGAGUGUGUUCAUUGUCCUGUGUUGUAAUAUCACUUCUGAAAGAAAUAUGUCUUUAAAUAUUAGUGUUCAGUAGGACUGUUCUUAAUCUCUGUUAUUAUAAUAAAUACUGAAUGUCAGACUUUUUCAAAGAUCCAAAUUGGAAAUGUGCUUUUUAUCUCACUAAAAUGAGUGGAAGCUCCACACAUCAUGUACAUUUCAAAGUAGAGAACUGUUAUCCCAAAUAUGCAUUGCAAGGAUAAUUGGAAAGGAUUAAUUUACUUCAUGGGGAUUUGACGGAGAUGAAUGAUCUGUUGUGCUCCCGGGAAAUUGGGAAUUUGGAAUUCUUUACUUUCAGUGGUUGAGAAUUAUCUGUGAAGUUUCUAUGCUUGAGUAGUUUUAAGUGCAUCUGUUCUUGAAGUAAUACAAAACAAAAACUCAGAUUUUCCCUGUCUGGGGUUUAUUCAUGUUACUACAGAUUUUUAAUACAAAAAUUAGAAUAUUGAAAAUAUAUUUUCCCUUUGGUUUUAAUAUUUAUACAGUAGAAAUUCUUGUUAGUGUUAAAAUGGAAUCAUAUAUGCAUUUAUGUUUUUAUAUGCAUAAGUACACCAUAGUUUAGGGUUUGAUGAAAGCCAUCUCAGUAGAAUCAGUCCUUGUUAUACUUGUUUUAGAUUUGUGCUGUUUGAGGCAGAGAGAUACAGAUAGAGGAUUUAUUUUUCAGUCCUAGUAGUUAAUCAAGUUCCUGUAACAGUCAUCUAAUCCCAUGGUUUUACCCAAGUCGUUUUCUCCAUGUUACUUCUACCUUUCUUAAGCAAGGCAAGUUUCUGCCUCAACAUUCUACCUUUGACCUAUUUGACCUUGCCUAUUUCCUUUCUGCUGUACAGCGGGUCAAUAACAGUACUGAGCAAGCAAUCCUCUUUCUAGCAUAUUGCCAGCUGUACAGGAGCUGUUGUGAACUCCCUAGAAAAGCUGAGAUGUGGUGUAAUACUUACGUUCACCUGCAAUCAGCAAUUUUAUGGUGCUAUCUCUGAAAAGCAGAGGGGAUUGAGUGGAUGUGCCGUGAAAGAAUUGAUGGAAUAUCCACUUUAAUGCUCUCUUAAGAAGGAAGGAGCGUUCUGCAGAAAUCCAGUCCAGCAUAUAUGCUAACACAACAGCAUUUUGGUUUGUUGGACCUCCUGUGGGGAAGACUGCAAAGUGGUUAUAGUUAUACAGGCUGCUGUAGGCAUCUCUGGGCUAGUCUCCCCUCAACAAAGAGACUGUCUAGAAACAAAACCUCCAGGAGCUGUAUUUAUACAUAUAGCUUCAGGGAGGAAUGUGUUCCAGAGCCUCAUUAACUCACCUCUAAGGUUGCAAGAGUAUCCAAUGGUGUGGGAAUAUCAAUGACACUGGUACUGUGGUCCUCAGUGCUCACUUCCACAGAUGCACAUUAGAAAUCUGAAUUUCUCCCUCCUUCAUAGCUGUAUGUGAAUCUAUUUGAAUGUAGAGAUUAUAUUUCUUGUCAUCUAGUACAGUCAGGCAUACAGUUAGACUCAGUUGCAGACUUGAGAAACAAUGAAAUAAAUUAAUUUUAUAAGGGAUACUAAUUUUAUUAGUCAGUGAAAAAAAAAAAAACAAUCAACCUCAACAAAUAAUAGCAGGUACUUAAGAGUAGCUAUAUAGCUAUAAAGUAGCAGUAGGGAUAUGUAAAGAUAGUUUUUUCAUCCAUGAGACAUGAUAAAUCAGUAGGCGAUUUAUGAUGAUAUAAAUCAUGAUAACAAUCAGUGGGAAGAAAUAUUCGAGACAAGAGCCAUGAUGCUUAAUGCUAUCAUCUAUAAUACAUUUGCUCUAUGUUUAGUUGUGCAGGUUAUAAUUGUAUUUAAAGGAUGCCUACAUGUGAACAAGGAUGACAAAAAAAUUCAUCUUGUUACUCCUUUGAACACAGGAGAAUCAGUAGUUAGUAUUGAGGAAAUGUGAGUAACUAUACAGAGAUAUUUUGGUAGUGCAAAGCCUAUGUUCACUCACAAAAGUGGUUUCACAGAGGAUAAGAAAUAGCUCAGAUCCCGUAGUCAGCAACCAAAGUAACCAAGUGCUUGUCAGAUACCAGGCGCUACAGUGCCAUCAGCAAAUCAGGCUAUCUGUUCUUCGGGCAGCUGACUACUGCCUGCUAUUCACAGCUCAGGCUCCAUGUUACUUUGCUCCUGUGUCAGCUGCCAGUCUUCUCCAAGUGAUUCUCCAAGAAACUCCAUUUCUGCAUCUCAAAAUUAUCCCUGUUUGUUGAUACUGCGCAUGACUAAAAUGGUAUUUUCAUAUUUCAGAGCAGUUGAAGCCCCUUAAAGCAGAGGGCUGUGAGUGUGAAAAAGAGAUAUGUUGUUCCCUAAUGGCUUAUUACCAUCUCAUUUGCAAUUCAGAUCAGUUAUAAAUUGACUGAAAUUUUUAAACACAUAGCAGGCAGUUUAAACUAAUGAUUGUCUGGAGGUUCACAUCUGACAUGAACUAAGCUUCUGUUCAAAACAAAUUGCAAAUAAUUCCUCCCUUAGAGUCAAAAUGUCACUUUUUACACAGUGCAUUGUUGCCAGAUUUUGUCAGCUCCAUUAAAAUAAAACCAAAUAAAUAAAUAAAUAAACCCAUCUAGCUAUCCAAUGAGUGUUCUGAACAUAGGGUGACCCUGUUAUUAUCCCUUAUUUACAGUAACAGGGCUUUACAUUUACAGGGCUCUGCACAGACUGCUGAAAGGUCCUUUCUCCCUCAAAAGCCCUAACUGUGGCGAAGGCGCUGGGGUCAGUAGCAGGCCUGGGUUGCCUAGCAAUCCCCUGCAGGCUGCCCAUCGCCCUCCAAGCUCGGCGUACCAUCUGAGUCCUUGCCUCAUGCUUGCCCAUGCCUGCUCAAAUAUUUCCACUGAGGCAGCUGUGUAUGGGUGGCUGUGGUGUGCUGGCGGGACUGUGAGUGCUGUGUGGAUGAGGCACACCGGCCUCCCAGCCACAGAGAUGUGGUAAAACAAUGUUAAUCCUUCGUUGUAUAUAGACAACUGCUUGAAGAAGCGAUUCAGAAUUUGGGUUUAAUUCCAUCAGGAUUUUGAAGUCCACACCUCUCAUGAUGAUAGCAGGGGAAGCUCUUCAAAAAUGCCCAAUGGGGUCACGAGGAACUGUUUAAUGUGUGAUUGAAAUUGGAUUUCCCUUCAAAGAAUAAGCCAUCUAAGGGGGAGUCACUGGAGAAAUCUUGAUGACUUGCAGCUGCUGAUUACUAAUUUUGAAUAGGGUAGUAUUUUGCUAAUUUCUAAAGGGAAUAAGCUUAUGUAGAGGGGAAAAAAAAUAGGUCAGUUCCUUUUGAUGUAAUCCUCAUGUAUUUUUGCUUUCUAGGUGUUGGCCACAGGGAGUUUUUUUUUUCAUGCAAUGUUACUGGGUCAGGUAUCCUGGUUAGAUGUUACUUGAAAGUCUGUGUUACUUGACUGGCUGUCUCGGGCUCAAAAAAAAAGAGGUUGUUUUUUUUCUUUUUCCCCACAAAAUAGCACAAAGAACUCUCUUAUGUACAGCAAACUACUUGUUCGGUUGCUAUUUAUUUAAGUUUUCAUCUUGAACUGUGAACUGAUAUACUUUGUACAGCACUGCAUGUCUCAAAAGUUUAUGCAUAGUGCAUAGCCUUACUUUUUUGUAUUUGAUUACUUUUCUGAUCCCUUAUCCACUGAAAAGUGUUUCUUAACUGUUGCUAAAAUAUUGAGAUGAUGUUGACACCUGCUCAAGGAAAAUUUUAUUGUUGGAGAAAGUAUGGUGAGAUGACACGAUUUUUAAGUAUCAAAACAGAAAUUUCACUGAAAACACUGAUUUUCUUUCUGAAAAUUAUGAAUGCAUAAUUAGUUUUAGUCAGUUUGGGAAGAAGUCGUUAAGCAUUACUUGAUUUAGAAUGUCACUGUAUUUGUGAGGAGAGGAAUGCUGAAACCAAGUGAAAGAGACUUUUCUUUGCUAGAUGAGAACAUUCAUGACAAAUUUUCCUACUACAUAAUCACUGCACGUUAAAAAAAGAGCAUAUUUUAAAGAAUCCUUUCCCCAACCCAAUUUGUUUUUUACGGCAGAUGUUGUUUGUUAUUUGUUUGUUUUGUUUUGUUUUAUAUCUGGAAAGUGACGGGAAAUGUGAAAAAGGCAUUUCUUAAGGUAUAUCCCAAGCUUUAUGAUCUUUCUGGGAAUACCUACCUGCUUGUAGCUAGGUUUAGGAAAGAUAUAUGCACGAAACUCUUACAUUUUUCUUACACAAAUGUAUAUACAUUUGUAUAGUUGAAAUGUGACGCACUUUGUACUCUAUGGAAAAAAAACUGGGUCUCAGCUAACUGAUCAUAAUAAUUUAGAUUAACUAACUGUAAAAUGAGUUGCCUCAUUCAAAGAAGCUUUUGAGUGCUGCCUCUUUCUUUGAUAUGUCUAUGAUGUUGAAGGCUGACUUCACAUCCUGUUUGCCCUGGCUACACUUAAAUGUAUAAAAUAGUCUUGCUGAUGUGGUUUAAGGCUAAAACUCCAUCAAAAGCAUCUUUCAUUGCAUGCUGAGUGCUCAGGAGAGCACAUGGUGUUUCUUAGCCAUCUCUCCAAUAUGUGUUGUGUAUGUUCAAGACUAUAGAUCCAUCAAUCUACAGCUUUGCUCUGCUUUUUUUGUCCCCAGUCAGAAUUAUGCUGUGACAAUAGAUAUAUAACAUUACCCUUAAUUUAGGAGGCAAUUCUAGAUAAGUAAUGCUUUGAUACUGCAGGUGAUGUGCAGGAUAUAAAUAAUUACACAAAUACCAUUAGUGUCUCAGAGUAGCAGUGAAACUUUUUUUUAUUUUUAUUUUUUAUGUUUUUGAGUAAUGAUUUGUAUGCUGGAGAGUUGUUUAAGGGACAGAAAAUAUCUUUGCUGAACAAUGCUACUAUCCACCACUGUAUUAAAAAAGCUUCAAGAUUUGCUUUUGUAUGAGCCUGUGUGUGUCAUAUAUUCACAUAAGUCCUACUUUCUUAGAUGGAAUCUCAAGUGAAAAUAAAAAUAAAUGGAUAUCCUAAAGUCAUUGCAAACCAUUUGUGAUGCUUUUACUUUACAUUUUUUCAUGGUGACAUCCAUCAGAGUCUAAUCUCUUAAUAAACUCAGGCUAUACAUUGCAGCUUCUUCCUUCACGUGGCCCUUGAAAGAGAAUUUUCUAAUACCGUGAAGAUGAUAAAGAAAAUAACCUUUUUUAUUUUCUUACUUUAGUGCAAGAGGGACACAGAAGAACAGAUUCCUUGCAAGUAGCACAAAAGCCACUCUAAAGAAUUGUUGAGCUGUUUAUUGCAUUAUCUUUACACAAGAACCUAUGAUCUGUAUUGCAUGGGUCUCAAGAAGAUCCCAUGUGCAUCAAAUAAAUUCAAGUACUUUUUGUGUUAUUAAGUUUUAGUACAUGUGCUGUAGUUACAGGAUACUGGAACAUCCAAAAGGUUCUGAUGUUUUAGUUAGGCUUCAAAAGGCUUGAAGACUUUUUUGAGCUGCAUGAACUAUAGUUGUCUGCGACGUCAGGCUGGAAAUCUCCCAAGAAUGGCUCCUUGGAAAGAUUAUUGUUAUUUCAGUCUUCUAACUAAAGAAAGAGCCUAUUGUAAUGUAUGAUUAUUGGUGUAAUCCUGCAAACCAUUUACAGUGCUUUCAAACUUGAAGUCAGCAAAGGUAGUGCAAUGAAGUAUAUCAAUGUAUUACAGGAAUUAUUACUACCUUAGCAAAAGAGUGAAAAAGAAUGACAGAAUAACUGUAUUAUAUACCACUCUUUUUAUACUCCUGUUUCCUACUUACUUGAAUUAUAAGUAAACAGAGCAGGACCUUGCUGGGCAGGGACAUUUUUUUGUGCCACUGUGGCAGUGGCCUGGUUGAUGACUGUGGGUCUUCGUAUUCUGAUAAUACUGUAAAAACUGCAAUAAGCUUUAUUAACUUAUGAUACAUUUAACACUGAAAUCUGUAGGGAGGUAGUCAGCUUAAUAGUGGAAAAAAAAUCGAUCAAUAAAUAGGAAUAUUUUUACAGUUACUCAUUUUGCACACAAAUUAGUUCCUAAUAAUUGAGUGUACACGUAUGUUAUGUAUUUUGUAUUCUGCAAGCUCCUUUGCAACAUGUGGUGUCUGAUACAAAUGACAUGAGUUUUAUGGCUUCUUUGACAUGUUAGAGUGAGAGCUCAUAGCAUUUCUGAUGACUCACAUUGUCACUCGUGAUUUAAUAAUUGAUCUGUACUCUUGAGUGUAAUGAACCCUGUAAUUUAUUAAAAGACGAAAAGUGUUCCCGUAGUUAGUGUGCUGAUGUUUGACAGGAGAAGUUAAUUUUUGAGGUACUACUGCUAUAAAAUCUUGUUGGUAAAUGCAAUUCAUUUUUAUGCUUGGUGAAGCACUUUUUGAUAGCAGUCUGGAUAAAAUAUGAAUACAUAUUUGCGGUGAACUUGUUCUUGAACAAGUUUUGUCUAGUGUCUCUGCCAUCAUUUUUUAAAUGGUUGUGAAAUACACAAGUCGCCUGUAAAAAUCCAAGACACUUCCUCAGUACUUAUAGUGUGGUUCAGUGUUGGUUGAUAAGAAAUGAACAUUUGUCUCUGUAAGUCUGUUCUUCUUGAGCCAAUGACCAAGUGUUUCUGUGACCAUGAAAUUUCUAUAUCAUCCUUUCACUUAGUUACCGUUCAUGCUGUGUGUUGGUGAAGAAAUAUAGGAAGGUAUGUAUUGGCCAAUACUGAGAUAUAUAACCCUAACAAACAAGAAAAGAACUCUGGGGAGAAGAAGGAGGAAGGGUAGGGAAUGGGAAAAAGAUGGGAAAUGAGAGGAAGG